rnacentral:rRNA from 1 species
CUAGAGGGCAGAAGAGGAAAGCGGAACUCCUAGUGUAGCAGUGGAAUGCUUAGAGAUUAGGAGGAACACCAGUGGCGAAGGCGGCUUUCUGGUCUGCACCUGACGCUGAGAGGCGAACAGCUAGGGUAGCGAACGGGCUUAGAUACCCCGGUAGUCCUAGCCGUAAACGGUGGAUACUAGGUAUUGGGGGUGAUACUCCCGCAGUGCCGCAGCUAACGCGCUAAGUAUCCCGCCUGGGGACUACGACCGCAAGGUUAAAACUCAAAGGAAUUGACAGGGACCCGCACAAGCAGCGGAGCGUGUGGUUUAAUUCGAAGCUACACGAAGAACCUUACCUGGGCUUGACAUGCACGUAGUAGGGAACCGAAAGGUGACCGACUCUUCGGAGAGCGUGCACAGGUGCUGCAUGGCUGUCGUCAGCUCGUGCCGUGAGGUGUUGGGUUAAGUCCCAUAACGAGCGCAACCCUUGUUGUCAGUUAAUUUCUCUGGCGAGACUGCCCUGCAAAACGGGGAGGAAGGUAGGGAUGACGUCAAGUCAGCAUGGCCCUUAUGCCCUGGGCUACACACACGCUACAAUGGAUGGUACAGCAGGUGGCAAGAGAGCGAUCUGGAGCUAAUCCUCUAAAACCAUCCUCAGUACAGAUUGCAG